GAUGAACGCUGGCGGCAUGCCUAAUACAUGCAAGUCGAACGAGAGACCUUCGGGUCUCUAGUGGCGAACGGGUGAGUAACACGUAGGGAACCUGCCCGCGCACCGGGAAUACGCUCUGGAAACGGAGAACAAAUCCCGAUGUACAGGAAGGAGGCAUCUUCUUUCUGUGAAACAUCCUUUCGGGGAUGGGGCGCGGAUGGACCUGCGGUGCAUUAGUUGGUUGGCGGGGUAAAGGCCCACCAAGACGAUGAUGCAUAGCCGGCCUGAGAGGGCGGACGGCCACAUUGGGACUGAGACACGGCCCAA
rnacentral:rRNA from 1 species